rnacentral:rRNA from 1 species
UACGGAGGGUGCAAGCGUUAUCCGGAUUCACUGGGUUUAAAGGGUGCGUAGGUGGCUUUGUAGGUCAGUGGUGAAAUGCCGCAGCUCAACUGCGGAACUGCCAUUGAUACUGCUUAGCUUGAAUCACGUCGAGGUGGAUGGAAUAUUACAUGUAGCGGUGAAAUGCUUAGAUAUGUAAUAGAACACCGAUUGCGAAGGCAGUUCACUAGGCGUGUAUUGACACUGAGGCACGAAAGCGUGGGGAUCAAACAGG